CAGUCUCUUUUUUAUCGAUAGCUGAAAUGUGAGCACUUUGUCAACUUACCAGAUAAAUGAUAUAGGGUCCGAUGAUAUGUGCGAAAUAUCCGAUAAUAUGAAUGAGCGAAACUCCUUGAGCGCGGACGACCGUAGGUAACAUCUCGGCGGCGUAUUGGAAUCCAAUAUUGGCGGCAAUGUUGACUCCGAGUCGGGCGAAGAUCGCCAUAAUAACGAUCGUCAUUAGGAAAAUUGGCAGUGAGUUGGUGAGUCACACUAACCGGCGGGGGUGGCGAUUGCGACGAAUGAAAACAGGGCGCAAAGCACCAGGGACAGAAAACUCAUCCAUCUGCGACCCCAUCGGUCCAGUAGUACAGCGAGAAUUAUAGCAGCGGGAAGUUCGGUAAGAGCGGCCAGUGAGAAAGACAAAAACACGUCGGGAUCCAGAAGUUUCAUGUUCCACACAUGACCGUCGAACACGAUUAUCAUAAUUAGCCUGGAAUACAAACAACAAAUAAAUAAACACUGAAUUUACAUUUUGACAAUGAAUUAUGCAAAAUACCAGAUGCUUUAUGUUCGAUCACUUCGGUAUUUCUUUUCAUUGUAAAUUUUUACAUUCAAACCAGAAAAGAGACUCGGAUUUCUCGGUAUCGCGCGCAUAUCAUUAAAUGUAGAAUUUAUUAAUUUAACGAAUAACGUAGAAAAAUCCAAGUCCAUUCGAAUUCCUGGAGUCGCAGUUGAUUUUUCCAUUAACAGAAAUGAUUGUGAUCCGAUAAGGCAAUGACGCGUCGCCGCAAUAACGACAUCAAUCAAUCGCUCACCGCGAUGGCCUGUGGCACCCAAAAAAUAGCCUGUUUUCGACGAAUUGUAAAAUCAUGUAGCGCUCAUUAUCUUACCAAUAAAUAGUGAGCAUCACUGUAAUGCGAGCGAGUCGUGGUUUCUUGAACAGAUCGAGUACCGUGUAAUUAUUUUUCGACUGGUCUUUGAUUACUGUGUUACAGCUCUCUUUGAAUUCUUCGUAGAUUUCCGGUUUCACGGUUUUCUUAUUCACACGUUCGAAUUUCUUGAGCAUCUCGAUCGCUUUGUCCGUUUUACCUCUCGUUAUGUACCAUCUG
rnacentral:misc_RNA from 1 species